CCAACGUUUGUUUGCGAGAACGGUCUGCUUGGCACCUUCCAUAAACUGCUGGACAGAAGGAGAAUGCAUACACAUUCUCUCAGCUCCAUUCUUCAUACGCAUCGCGUUUAGCUCUGGACGAAACAUUAGAACCCUACCGUCUUCUCCUCGAUUUGAAGCUUUGCCUGGCCAUAGUUGAGAAUUCCAGCAGCGGGGUUGAGCUCCAUGUUGCCGUAACGGCUAAGGCAACCUUGUUCGAAGUUUCCUUCUUUACAACUUCUUGUGGCGAACAUGUAAUCUGUUGGUACAAGACUGAAUCCGAGGUUGUCCCAGUCUACAUCAGCAUACUCUCCAUCCUCACUGCAGCAUAAGAAACUUUUGCCUAUUAAAGGUAAUAUUACCGUUCUGACCUCAGCAUCGCUGAGACAUGUUCUUCUACAACAGAAGCUACUGCCUUGGUCCCAUGCAUACGAAAUCCACAGAUCUGUAAUAUUAAUGAAUACAUACCAGACAACCACACAGGAGCGUAAGCCUCAGACGAAGCAGAUGUCUUUUUUUGAAUUGAAGAGUAAAAAGAUUUAUUGGGAGAAAAGUACAAACCUUAGAAAUAUAAGAGGAAGUUGUUGGAGAUUUAAGUAAGCAGCGAAGAGCCAUGAAAAAUGUUGUACGAGCUUUAUGUGUGUGCACCAAACUGAAACUCUUGGAUGGGAUGUUGUCACCAAUUUUGACAGGUAGGAGACUGAAGAGCAGAGGGAGAAAGAGAGGGUUGAUAUAUAGAGAGAGAGAGAGCGAGAGAGAGGAGAGGAAAAUAGAAGCAUUUACAGCUAUGUUUUUUAUGGUAAAAUGAUUACAGCUAUGUUUCUAUGAUUAAUUACUUCUUUCGGUAUUAAAAAUAAUAAUAGAAAAGUUUUAAUUACAGCUAU